CCUUAGUGAUGACACCCGCAAGCGUCUUACGCCUUGUGUUAACGCCAGAACCUGAAAAGGUGGACCCACUGGUGUGACCAUGGCUGGAAGGGGAAGACCUGUUGGGGUUACCAACAGUCUGAAUGGA